GCGACGGUGAGAGUUCCUUCAUCUCACUUGUAACGAGAAUACGCAGGUUCGAAUCCUGCCCGUCCCA
rnacentral:tRNA from 1 species